rnacentral:rRNA from 1 species
AACGAACGCUGGCGGCAUGCCUAACACAUGCAAGUCGAACGAGACCUUCGGGUCUUGUGGCGCACGGGUGCGUAACGCGUGGGAACCUGCCCUUAGGUUCGGAAUAACUCCCCGAAAGGGGUGCUAAUACCGGAUAAUGUCUUCGGACCAAAGAUUUAUCGCCUUUGGAUGGGCCCGCGUUAGAUUAGCUAGUUGGUAGUGUAAUAGCCUACCAAGGCGACGAUCCAUAGCUGGUCUGAGAGGAUGAUCAGCCACACUGGGAAUGAGACACGGCCCAGACUCCUACGGGAGGGAGGAGUGGGGAAUAUUGGACACUGGGCGAAAGCCUGAUCCAGCAAUGCCGGGUAAGUGAGGAAGGCCUUAGGGUUGUAAAGCUCUUUUAGCCGGGAUGAUAAUGACAGUACCGGGAGAAUAAGCUCCGGCUAACUCCGUG